AUUGAACGCUGGCGGCAGGCCUAACACAUGCAAGUCGAGCGGACGCAGCAAUACGUUAGCGGCGGACGGGUGAGGAAUGCAUCGGAACGUGCCGUGUAGUGGGGGAUAACACAGCGAAAGUUGUGCUAAUACCGCAUACGCCCUGAGGGGGAAAGUGGGGGACCGCAAGGCCUCACGCUAUAUGAGCGGCCGAUGCCCGAUUAGCUAGUUGGUGAGGUAACGGCUCACCAAGGCGACGAUCGGUAGCUGGUCUGAGAGGAUGAUCAGCCACACUGGAACUGAGACACGGUCCAGACUCCUACGGGAGGCAGCAGUGGGGAAUAUUGGACAAUGGGGGCAACCCUGAUCCAGCCAUGCCGCGUGAGUGAAGAAGGCCUUCGGGUUGUAAAGCUCUUUAAGCGGGGAGGAAGGUCGUACAGUUAAUACCUGUGCGAAUUGACGUUACCUGCAGAAUAAGCACCGGCUAACUCUGUGCCAGCAGCCGCGGUAAUAC
rnacentral:rRNA from 1 species